GACGAACGCUGGCGGCGUGCUUAACACAUGCAAGUCGAACGGAAAGGCCCUGCUUUUGUGGGGUGCUCGAGUGGCGAACGGGUGAGUAACACGUGAGUAACCUGCCCUUGACUUUGGGAUAACUUCAGGAAACUGGGGCUAAUACCGGAUAGGAGCUCCUGCUGCAUGGUGGGGGUUGGAAAGUUUCGGCGGUUGGGGAUGGACUCGCGGCUUAUCAGCUUGUUGGUGGGGUAGUGGCUUACCAAGGCUUUGACGGGUAGCCGGCCUGAGAGGGUGACCGGCAAGAUGGGGAGUGAGGAAGGCCCAGAACGCAGCGGGGGGGAAGAGGGGGGGAUUUUGGAAAAGGGGGGGGAGGCGGUAGGAAGAAAGGCGGGGGGGGGGAGGAGGGCCUUGGGGUUGAAACCGGUUUUCGCUGGGAAGAAGGGGGGGGGGGGGGAAGGGGAAAAAAAAGCCCGGACAAACUACGGG
rnacentral:rRNA from 1 species